ACGAACGCUGGCGGCAUGCCUAACCCAUGCAAGUCGAACGAGACCUUCGGGUCUAGUGGCGCACGGGUGCGUAACGCGUGGGAAUCUGCCCUUCGGUUGGGAAUAACUGAGAGAAAUUUCAGCUAAUACCUUAUAAUGUCUUCGGACCAAAGAUUUAUCGCCGAGGGAUGAGCCCGCGUAGGAUUAGGUAGUUGGUGGGGUAAUGGCCUACCAAGCCGACGAUCCUUAGCUGGUCUGAGAGGAUGAUCAGCCACACUGGGACUGAGACACGGCCCAGACUCCUACGGGAGGCAGCAGUGGGGAAUAUUGGACAAUGGGCGAAAGACUGAUCCAGCAAUGCCGCGUGAGUGAUGAAGGCCUUAGGGUUGUAAAGCUCUUUUACCCGGGAUGAUAAUGACAGUACCGGGAGAAUAAGCUCCGGCUAACUCCGUG
rnacentral:rRNA from 1 species